CUUUCUGGUAACACUGAGGGUAUAAAUUGUGGCUGGGCUCUGUGUGUGCAUUCACAUCAAAAGCCAAAAUGAAGACAUGCACAGUCUUUGCUCUAGUGGCUUUCAUCACCGUGGGGAUGGAGAUGGCCUGUGGUGACCCUCUGACACCUCCUGUCCAAGAGCAACAAAGACCUGGAGUCUGCCCGAAGGUGUCUUCAGACGUCAUUGGGCCUUGUUAUGAUAUAUGCACAGGAGAUGCAUCAUGUCCCAAGGGAAUGAAAUGCUGCGUCCAUGGAUGUGGUCGUGUCUGCAAAACUGCUGUCCCUGCAAAGGGUGGCUUGGGUGGCCCAGUGAAAGAUGGACAAGGUGUUUAUUAAGCGUGCCUGGAGACCAUCCUCAGAAGAUUUCUCAUGAAUCUGAUGCUUGGCUAACAAGACUCUUCUACAAACCAUUCCUGGCUAUUCUCUAUCCCUGGACUUGCAGCUCUAGAAGAUGAAGAUCUAAAGUGGUGGAGUGACCACUUCUAAAGAGCUUUUGUCCAAAAUAAACCUUAUCUGUGGCAUGAUUCAGGCUCUGUCAUUCUUCCCAUUUACGCAUUCUAGUGGACCUCUGUGGAUGGGCAGGACCAUAUGUGUAUCUUGCACUGAGCCCAUGAAUGCAAGGUACUCAUGAAAGAUCAGAGGCAAGAUCCUUCCAGCUAGUUCCUUUCCUCCUUCCAUGUCCAUGUCUCUAGACAGGGCAAAGGGCAUAAUAAUAUUUUCUCAAUCAUUCUGUGAAUAAAAAUGACCUUCUAGCACUUAGCAAGCCUAUUGGAGCAGGACUGGAUGCCUAACUCCAAGAGAGCAACCCCAGCCCUUGGGAUGUGGGACUUUGAGUGGCAAAGACUGGGAAGUGCCAGCUCCUGCCCUGGAGUGACUAGGAGUUAGGGUACAGUUAGGACAGAGGCUCUGUGGGUGGAGUCUUUGAUUCAGAGUUUUCCUGAGGCAGAGGAUAAACCUAGGUCUCCCAAAGAAGCCUUGACAAAAACUAUGGUCUGAGCUGACCGCUACAAGCUCCAUCUCCCAGCGCUCUCUGUUCACUUUCCCACCUUGAUUCCCCCCACUUAGCCUGCUGAGUUUGGCAGGCUCCCAUCAACUUGUCCCUGUCCAUCACGCUGCUGUUGCUUCUCCAUAGCACAUCUUAUAACCCCAGUGGCCCAUGGCCUCACCAGUCUGUACAUUGGAAUGAGCAUAUUAGCAUCAAUAUCUUCUUUUACUGGUUGGUCACCUACAUCCCAAACCCCAGCAUGCUUUAGUCACUCUUGGUCAUUUAUGGGGGUUCAUAGACACCUCUAACAUGGUCUCAAACAAUUUCACCUAUUGUCUGCCAUUCUGAAUGCCAAAGAUACUUGAGAAUGGCAUCCUACAACUUCCACUUACGUUUCUGCCCUUUAGAUAGUCCUGAAAUCCCUAGAAAGUUGUUUGUGCUCUUUUGUCAGCUUCUCAUUUUUUUUUCUCGCCUGCAUUCCAACCCCCUUUAUAUUUUGGAGAAAACUCUUCUUUCUCCUUAUGGAAAUUGACAAGGGCCAGACAGUCUCACCCUGCUUCCUAGCAGGUAGGGUUUGGAAUUAGGAUGCUAUUUUCUGAUGAUGUGGAUUGAUAGGGAGUGACACUUAAGACUUAUGAAUUGUCAAAACCAAUUCACAACAGCAGAGGUGCCAGUGACAGCAUCCUAACCAGAUUUGCCACGGGCUGAACUUGGCUAUGUCCUCUUCUACCUGCUGUAUUUAGGUCCUUGAUAUUUUUCCCAAGCCUGGUUCACCAGCCGUUCCUACUGUUUCUGUGAGCUGUAUAAUAAUGUCUUUCCAGAAUUCCUGCUCUCUCAAGUUGGACAGAAUUGGCUUUUUUGUUUGCAUCCAAGAACAUUAACUUGUACAGAAAUUGGUGUCAGGAGUGGACACAGGCCAAAAAUACUCAGGGAGAUGGCAGGAGUCUGGGUUUUAUGAACUGGUCUAGUUAGAAGCCCCCUUGUUCACAUGCCUAUGCUCUCCUGUUCACGUGGCCCACCCCCUUAGAACUUGUUGGUCUCUGUUUUGGGGAGCCACCUCCAUGGUGGGCAGAGCUACAAAUGGAACCCUGGGUUGCUCACAACCUGUGUUUCUUUACCUGUGACCUCUGGCUGAGCGCCCCUCACCCUGUGGCCAUUUGCUCUACUGGACUUCUCCCUUCCCCGACCCCCCUCUCCCACCCUCAGUGGACAGGGGUCCUGUCAUUGCACCUGUGCCUCUGGGCGGCUGCUGGGUGCCUCCUGGUACAAGACCCUGAUGCCACCCCACCUCUGUGGCAGCAUCUCUCAUCCCCUGGAUACCCCAUUCAGUGCUCCCCUGCAGCUCCAAGGACCUGCUGAGCCCAGGUCCCAGCCUGUCACUAGUUCCCCAAGUCCUGCCUGCAGCCCAGGAUCCUCAAGGCAGUCUGAGAGGAGGAUAGACCCCUUAGACAGAGUGGUGCAGACACCAGGGUAACCAGGUGUGG